GACGAACGCUGGCGGCGUGCUUAACACAUGCAAGUCGAACGGAAAGGCCUCUUUCGGGGGGUACUCGAGUGGCGAACGGGUGAGUAACACGUGAGUAACCUACCCUUGACUUUGGGAUAACUUCAGGAAACUGGGGCUAAUACCGGAUAGGAGCUCCUGCUGCAUGGUGGGGGUUGGAAAGUUUCGGCGGUUGGGGAUGGACUCGCGGCUUAUCAGCUUGUUGGUGGGGUAGUGGCUUACCAAGGCUUUGACGGGUAGCCGGCCUGAGAGGGUGACCGGCCACAUUGGGACUGAGAUACGGCCCAGACUCCUACGGGAGGCAGCAGUGGGGAAUAUUGCACAAUGGGUGGAAGCCUGAUGCAGCAACGCCGUGUGCGGGAGGACGGCCUUCGGGUUGGAAACCGCUUUCGCUCAUGACGAAGCUUUGUGUGACGGUAGUGGGUAAAGAAGCACCGGCUAACUACGUG
rnacentral:rRNA from 1 species